GGGUAAGGAAGGAGCUUUUGUGGUGCGAGACUCCAGGCAUGCAGGCGUCUACACUGUGUCUGUCUUCACUAAAGCCCCAGGAUCCAACGGGCAGAAGAACCCGCGGGUGAAGCGCUACCAGAUCAGACAGUCAGAGGCAGAGGAGACGUCCACGUUUUACCUGGCAGAGAAAUACCUGUUCAGCACCAUUCCUGAGCUCAUCCAGUACCACCAACACAACGCUGCAGGUCUGAUCACACGACUGAGGCAUCCUUUCUCUCAGGGUAGAGAGAGCUCUCAGAGCCCUGCGGAACUCUCAGAAGGUCAGAGGUUGACCUGCUGCUUCUGUCUCCAGGCAGCCAGCAGCAAUUUUGUUUGGUUAUUGAUUAUGGAAGGUAUCAUAGAGAUAGUUAGAGGACUCAUUUUUGCAUCUGUGCCAUUAUAGUGUCUGUUACAGCAUGGGCAGAUGAGUCCUCUAACAAUCUCUAUGGAAGUUUCCUAAUCCUGAAUUACAUGACAAUUCUAAAGAUCAAACACAAAGCAGAUAACACACCAGACGCUUAUAUGUUAUAGAUAAGUUACUGUGUAAUAAAGAUAUGCUUAAACAACGCAUAUGCAUGAUCGUGAGAAUUGGCAUGUGUUUUGCUAUUCUAAAAGCAUUAGGACUGUGAUGACAUAAGUGGUGAUGUAAGGUAGACUUGUGUGAUGAGGUACCCAGGUGUAGCAGCCCCAGCUGUUACCAAUAGGCAGGCAGCUCCACCACACCCUGAAAACGUCCAGGCAGGAGGGACUACCUGGAGGAGAAUGUGGCAGGCAACCACAGUGUACCAUGUUGUGUUCAGCCUUGAUGUAUUUUCCAAUAAUUGCAUUAGUAUGUCAUUAUUACCUCUGCACUCUCUCUCCCCCUUCCCCUCUUUCCUUCCUCCCUCUCCCCCUCCCUCUCUCUCCCCCUCGCCCCUCCCUCCUUCUCCCCCUCCCUCUCUCUUCCCCUAAA